GGAUACAAAUAGGCAAGUCUAACAAAGGGA
rnacentral:piRNA from 1 species